GCACUGGUUUAGCUCAGUGGUUACUUCGAACAAAUUCUAUCCUGUAUAGAUACUGCUCCCCAUCCCUCCCCGGGAUCGAACCACGGGCGCUGUCCAGUGCUUUU
ensembl:vault_RNA Vault Vault RNA